GUUGAUGUUCGCAUAAAAAGCAUUUCUCAUCAUUGAAGCAUAUUAUCUUGCCAUAACUUGAACAAAGCACGCCGAUAAACGCUAGUUUUACAACACAAUAGCACAUGUUGUACAACUGCUAAACCAUCGGAUCCCAUGGGGAGGGGCGAUUUCAUAAUUACAAAUCUUGGUUAGUUGAAUGUUUUUAUGCGAACAUCAACAUAAAACUAGGCUGAAAGUUCACCGUUUAGUAAUAAUCUACACGGUUAAUCGAUCAAAUAAAUUAUAAUUAGAAUACAACCGAAACCAUUGCUACUAAAGCAAGCUCAAGUGACCACUCGGCUUCUGUAUGUAACUAAAAUAAAGAGGUAAUGAAAGUUAGAAAGAUAAAUUGACCGCAGCACAUACAAAAGGGCUUCCGUUUAAAGCAGUUCACUAACGCAACCUCCAUUGCCAGAAUGGUUGGAAAAGAAAGAAUAGUUUUGCGUCCAAUAGUAUAUAUAUUGUGAUGCACUGAACAACAGUA
rnacentral:misc_RNA from 1 species